AAAACUUUUCUGUUCUAAUCAGUGUGAAAACUGGUUUUCGACUUUUGGUGAACUUUUUCACUCGCAUUUUUGGGCAAUCGUCUGCGGCUAGCUUGCUAGCGGCGGACGAGCGGUCUCCGGGGGCGUACACCUUUCCCCCGAGGCCAACACAGU
rfam:Phytophthora infestans T30-4 supercont1.1 genomic scaffold, whole genome shotgun sequence.